rnacentral:rRNA from 1 species
UGAGAUGUUGGGUUAAGUCCCGUAACGAGCGCAACCCUUGUCCUUAGUUACCAGCACGUAAUGGUGGGCACUCUAAGGAGACUGCCGGUGACAAACCGGAGGAAGGUGGGGAUGACGUCAAGUCAUCAUGGCCCUUACGGCCUGGGCUACACACGUGNUACAAUGGUCGGUACAGAGGGUUGCCAAGCCGCGAGGNGGAGCUAAUCCCAGAAAACCGAUCGUAGUCCGGAUCGCAGUCUGCAACUCGACUGCGUGAAGUCGGAAUCGCUAGUAAUCGCGGAUCAG